GACGAACGCUGGCGGCGUGCCUAAUACAUGCAAGUUGAGCGAUGAAGCUUGGUGCUUGCACCAAUUUGAAGAGCAGCGAACGGGUGAGUAACGCGUGGGGAAUCUGCCUUUGAGCGGGGGACAACAUUUGGAAACGAAUGCUAAUACCGCAUAAUAACUUUAAACAUAAGUUUUAAGUUUGAAAGAUGCAAUUGCAUCACUCAAAGAUGAUCCCGCGUUGUAUUAGCUAGUUGGUGAGGUAAAGGCUCACCAAGGCGAUGAUACAUAGCCGACCUGAGAGGGUGAUCGGCCACAUUGGGACUGGGACACGGCCCAAACUCCUACGGGGGGCAGCAGUAGGGAAUCUUCGGCAAUGGACGAAAGUCUGGCCGAGCAACGCCGCGUGAGGGAAGAAGGGUUUCGGAUCGGAAAACUCUGUUGGUAGAGAAGAACGUUGGUGAGAGUGGAAAGCUCAUCAAGUGACGGUAACUACACAGAAAGGGACGGCUAACUACGUG
rnacentral:rRNA from 1 species